CUGCCUUUUUCCCAUUUAACCCAAAUCAGGGCCUUUGUCAAAUAUCAACUGCUCACAUGUGGAUGGAUUUAUGUCUGGAUUCUCAAUUCUGUUCCAUUGGUCUAUGAAUCUGUUGUACCAGUACCAGGCUGUUUUGACUACUGUGGCAGUAUAACAGGUUCUAAAAUCAGAUAGAGUAAGGCCUCCCACUUUGUUCUUCUUUCUCAGUAAAGCUUUACUUAUCCGGGGCCUCUUUCCCUUCCACGUGAAGUUGGUGAUUUGUUUCUCCAUCUCAUUAAAACAUGUCAUUGGAAUUUGGAAUGGAAUUGCAUUAAAUCUAUAGAUGGCUUUUGGUAGAAUAGACAUUUUUAUAAUGUUAAGUCUUCCUAUCCAUGAGCAAGGUAUGUUUUCCCACUUAUGUAGGUCUCUUUUGGUUUCUUGCAGAAGCGUUUUGUAGUUUUCGUUGUAUAAGUCUUUUACAUUUCUGGCAAGAUUUAUUCCUGAGUAUGUUAUCUUCUUGGGGGCAACUGUAAAUGGUAUUGAUUUGGUGGUUUCCUCUUUGAUGUUCUUUCUGUUGGUGUGGAGGAAUCAAACUGAUUUUUGUAUGUUUAUCUUAUAUCCCAAUACUCUGCUGAACUCUUUUAUUAGUUUCAGUAGUUUUCUUGAGAAUUCCUUAGGGUUUUCUGUGCAUAAGAUCAUGUCAUCUGCAAAUAGAGACACUUUUACUUCUUCCUUGCCAGUCUGGAUGCCCUUUAUUUCUUUAUCUAGCCUAAUUGCUCUGGCUAGGACCUCCAGCACAAUGUUGAAUAAGAGUGGUGAUAAAGGGCAUCCUUGCCUGGUUCCCGAUCACAAGAGGAAUGCUUUCAGGCUUUCUCCAUUUAGAAUGAUGUUGGCUAUUGGCUUUGUAUAAAUGCCCUUAUUAUGUUGAGGAAUUUUCCUUCUAUUCCUGUUUUGCUGAGAGUUUUUAUCAUGAAUGCAUGUUGUACUUUGUCAAAUGCCUUUUCUGCAUCAAUUUAUAAAAUCAUGUGAUUCUUGCUUUUGUUUUAUUUAUAUGAUGGAUUAUAUUAAUUGUUUUUCUAAUGUUGAACCAUCCCUGCAUACCUGGUAUGAAUCCCACUUGGUCAUGGUGAAUUAGUUUUUCGAUAUGUUAUUGAAUUCCAUUGGCUAGAAUUUUGUUGAGGAUUUUUGCAUCUAAGUUCAUGAGGGAUAUAAGUCUGUAAUUUUCUUUUUUUGUGAUGUCUUUACUUGGUUUUGGUAUCACAGAUAUGCUGGCUUCAUAGAAUGAGUUUGAGGGAGUAUUCCAUCCUUUUCCAUGCUCUGAAAUACCUUUAGUAGUAGUGUUAAUUCUUCUCUGAAAGUUUGGUAGAAUUCCGCAGUGGAGCCGUCAGGGCCAGGGCUUUUUUUGUUGGGAGUUUUUUGAUUACUUUUUCAGUCUCUUCUUUUGUUAUGGGUCUACCCCUGUUUGUGUUAAUUUAGUUAGGUGGUGUGUUUCUAGGAAUUCAUCCAUUUCUUUUAGGUUUUCAAAUUUGUUAGAGUACAAUUUUUCAUAGUAAUCUGAUAUGAUUCUUUUAAUUUCAGUUGGGUCUGUUGUAAUAUCGCCCAUCUCAUUUCUUAUUCAUGUCAUUUGCUUCCUCUCCUGUUUUUCUUUUGUCAGUUUGGCCACUGGUUUAUCAGUUUUGUUAAUUUUUUCAAAGAACCAGCUUUUGGUCUUGUUAAUUCUUUCAAUUGCUUUUCUGUUUUCUAUUUCAUUUAGUUAUGCUAUAAUUUUUAUUAUUUGUUUUCUUCUGGUGCCUGAGGGUUUCUUUUGUUGCUCUCUUUCUAUUUGUUCAAGUUGUAGGGAUAAUUCUUUUAUUUGGGCCCUUUCUUCUUUUUUUGUGUGUGCAUUUAUUCAUAUAAAUUGACCUUUGAGCACUGCUUUUGCUGUGUCCCAAAGGUUCUGAUGGUGUUUGUAUUCUCAUUGGAUUCUGUGAAUUUCUUUAUUCCAUCUUUAAUGUCCUCUAUAAUCCAGUCUUUUUUGAGCAGGGUAUUGUUCAGUUUCCAAGUGUUUGAUUUCUUUUCCCUGCUUUUUCUGUUAUUGAUUUCCACUUUUACGGCCUUGUGGGCAGAGAAGAUGCUUUGUAAUAUUUAAAUGUUUCGGAUUCUGCUAAGGCUUGCUUUAUGACCUAAUAUGUGGUCUAUUCUAGAGAAUGUUCCAUGUGCACUAGAAAACAAAGUAUACUUUGUUGCUGUUGGGUAGAGCGUUCUGUAUAUGUCUGUGAGGUCCAGUUGGUUGGUUGUGGCAUUUAGAUCUUCCGUGUCUUUAUUGAGCUUCUUUCUGGAUGUCUUGUCCUUCACUGAAAGUGGUGUGUUGAAGUCUCCUAGUAUUAUUGUGGAGCUGUCUAUCUUACUUUCCAAUAUUGUUAAAGUUUGUUUUAUGUAUCUUGCAGCCCUGUCAUUGGAUGCAUAAAUAUUUAAUAUGGUUAUAUCUUCUUGGUAUAUUGUCCCUUUAAUCAUUAUAUAGUGCCCUUUCUUAUGCUUUCUGAUGGAUUUAACUUUCACGUCUAUUUUGUCAGAAAUUAAUAUUGCCACUCCUGUUCUUUUUUGAUUGUUGUUUGCUUGAUAUACUUUUUUCCAUCCUUUGAGUUUUAGUUUUUGUCUCUAAGUCAAAGGUGUGUCUCUCGUAGGCAGCAUAUACACGGAUCUUGUUUUUUAAUCCAUUCUGCCACUCUGUGCCUCCCUACUGGUGCACUUAGUCCAUUUACAUUCAGCAUAGUUAUGGAUAGGUAUGAAUUUAGUGCUGUCAUUUUGAUGUCUUUUUUUGUGUGUUGUUGACAGUUUCUUUUUCCCACUUAAUUUUAUGUGCUGAGUAGAUUAUAUAUUGCCCUUUCCUCAUAUUCGUUGUUGUUGAUUUUGUUUCUUCUGGGUCUUUAUUUUUUUCUUGUAUUUUAUUUUGAUGUGCAGAGCAGUUUGUCUCCUUUGUGGUUACCUUAUUAUUUACCCCUAUUUUUCUAAAUUUAAACCUAACUUUUAUUUCUUUGUAUCAUCUUAUCUUCCUCCCCAUAUGGAAGAUCUAUGACUACAUUUCUAGUCCCUCUUUAUUGUUUUAAUGUUGUCUUCUUUUACAUAAUAACAUUGCUGUUCCCCUGUUUUGAAUGUGUUUUUAUCUUGAUUUAUUUUUGUGAUUUCCCUGUCUGUGUUGACUUCUGAUUGCUCUGCCCAGUGUUGUAGUCUUGGGUUGAUAACUGAUUUUAUUGAUUUUCUAACCAAUGAACUCCCUUUAGUAUUUCUCGUAGUUUUGGUUUGGUUUUUAUGAAUUCCUUAAACUUCUGUUUAUCUGGAAAUGUCCUAAUUUCACCUUCGUAUUUGAGAGACAGUUUUGCUGGAUAUAAGAUUCUUGGCUGGCAAUUUUUUUCUUUCAAUUUUUUAAAUAAGUAAUCACAUUGCCUUCUUGCGUGCAUGGUUUCUGCUGAAUAGUCCAAGCUUAUUCUUAUUGACUGUCCUUUGUAGGUGACUUUUUGUUUAUCCCUAGUUGCUCUUAAAAUUCUCUAUCUUUGGUUUUGGCAAGUUUGAUUGUAAUAUGUCUUGGUGACUUUCUUUUCAAAUCUACCUUAUGUGGAGUUCGAUGAGCAUCUUGGAUAGAUAUCUUCUCAUCUUUCACGAUAUCAGGGAAGUUUACUGCCAACAAAUCUUCAACAGUUCUCUCUGUAUUUUCUGUUAUCCCUCCAUGUUCUGGUACUCCAGUCACUCGUAGGUUAUUUCUCUUGAUAGAGUCCCACAUGAUUCUUAAGGUUUCUUCAUUUUUUAAAAUUCUUUUAUCUGAUUUUUCUUCAAAUAUAUUGGUGCCAAGUGCUUUAUCUUCAAAUUCAGAAAUUCUGCCUUCCACUUCCUCAAUUCUGCUCCUCUGACUUUCUAUUGAGUUGUCUACUUUUGUAAUUUUAUUGUUAAUCUUCUGAAUUUCUGAUUGCUGUAUGUCUAUGGAUUUUUCCAGCUUAUUAAAUUUUUCGUUAUGUUCCUGAAUACCCUUUUUAAUUUCUUCAGUUGCUUUAUCUGUGUGUUCCUUGGCUUGUUCUGUGUAUUGCCUGAUUUCCUUCCUGAUGUCUUGAACAGUUCCAUAUACUAAUCGUUUGUAUUCUGCCUCUGGUAGUUCCAGAAAGCACUUUCAUCUAGAAGAUCCCUUGAUUCUUUGUUUUGAGAGCUUGUUGAGGUAAUCAUGGUUUGUUUCUUUAUAUGACUUGAUAUUGACUGUUGUUUCCGAGCCAUGUAUAAGUUACUAUAUUAGUUUAUUUUAUGUUUGCUUAGUGUAUCAUAGCUUCUUGGUUUGUUUUGUUUUGAUAUGCCCAAAUGGGUUGCUUGAGUGAACUAAUUUGAUUAUUUUCACCUUUGGAGCUCUGACGUCCUGUUCCCAGAUGGCUAGAGCUGUUAUCAGGUAUAUUGGUCUAGAAGUCCAUUCAUUUUCUUGUGUGGAUUCAGCUCAGGUGUCCAGGUAGCUGUUCAUCAAGUAUGUCCUACAGUCUUAGAGGGGCAGGGUUGAUUGGUGUAGGUACUGGUAUCUGGUUGCACCAGGGGGUCACACUCUGAACAAGGCAGGGGGCUGCGAAUCAUCCCCCACAUGUCUCUGAGGAAAGCAUGUCCCUCUUCCCUAGAGUGUGCAGGUGGGUGCGUUCUGCAGAUGGACCAUGGGCACCCAAUGAUUUUGGUUGUAAGGAUUGGGAGGUACCAUUUAUCCUUUGACCCCUGUCACGGGUGGCUGGGUGACCUGAGUGGAGUCAUUUGUCCUCAGGCCCCUGACGUGGGUAGGUGAAAAAAAAAACCCUGUUUAAUAGGCAAAGCAAUGUCAAACAUCAAACACCCACCUCUCUGCCGCACUGCUGAAAUGGUUGGAGCCUGCCUACAAGGGUCUCUUCUCCUGACGUAGGCCCACACAGGUCCAUGUAGAGGGGAAAGGUACUCAAAGUCUAUGUACCAUUUAUGCCGGGACAGAAGCUGCUUCUGUCCUGAGGUCCCACGCUUAGUGGAGCUGGCAAAUUAUCUUUUCCCCAGUUGCAAAUUUAUUCCUUCUCCAAGGCCGGGAGGAUGGCUCUAGGCGAUCAACAGGGCCUAUCUCAAAAAACAAAAACAAAAACAAAUCAAACCCACUGCCGUCAAGUCAAUUCUGACUCAUAGUGACCCUAUAGGACAGAGUAGAACUGCACCGUAGAGUUUCCAAGGAGUGCCUGGUGGAUUCAAACUGCCAGCCUCUUGGCUAGCAGCCAUAGCACUUAGCCAGUAUGCCACCAGGGUUUCCUAUCUCAGGCCCAGGGAAAUCUGCAGCUGAAGCCAGCUUGGGGUGGGGUGGGGUAUAAUAUAAGCAAGUACUUAGCUGUUGCCGAGAGCACUGUUCGUCUCUGGUUCUGAAGGUGUGAGUAGGCUGUGUGGCUGGCUGCUUUUCCCUGAGGAAACUGCAGCUGAACACUAGCACUAGCCUGUCGCUGCUGCUCCUGGGAAUGGUGCCUGAGGGCUCCCCGCAAUUCAGGUCCGGUAACUCCUCUCCGCUUCUGAACUAUCUCUUCCUCCCCAUGCCCCUCAGUUCAUUUUCUAAGCUUGCCUUUGAUGUUCAGGGUCUUUGUUGUUAAGAGGGCUCGCUGGAAGUGUCUAUUCUGCCAUCUUGGCUCCACCUCCAGAAAUCUGUGUUUUUAAAGAGCUUCUGAGGUGAUCCUGGAAGUCGAUGAAGUUUGAAACCCAUCACUGUAGAACGCACUGUGCUCCCCAAUUGUACAUUUUGCUGGGCUACAAUUCCCUGGUGAAAUAUUUUAGGGAAACUUUGCCUACAAGAAUCUCGUUUUGGGGAUAUUUGUGAUCAUGAUAACCUGUUAAAGGGACUGAUGAACCUCUUUGACAGAUUAAAAAACUAGUUGCCAUCAAGUUAACUCCAACUCAUGGUGACUCAAUGGGUGUCAGAGUAGAGCUGUGCUCUACAGGGUUUUCAAUGGCUGAUUCUUUGGAAAUAUAUCACCAGGCCUUUCUUCUGAGAUACCCCUAGGUGGACUUGAACCUCCAAACUUUCCGUUAGCAGCCAAGUGCAUUAACAGUUUGUACUACCCAGGGACUCCUACAACAGAUUAUCUUUGUUUAAACGAUGAAUCAACAAACCCAUUUGAGGCAAAGGCGAAUUUUUCCUAUCCACACAACAGCUUUUCUAUAACAAGUAUGAGAAGAUCUGCUCUGGACAUUUUCUUACUUUUCCCUUUUUCGCAUCAAAACAUAACCACCUUGUGCCCCAUUCUUUGCAUAGAUGCCAUGAGGUAAUAAGGGAAGAAUGAUUAGAGGAAUGAAUAUUGGUAACGUGUUAGCUUGUUAAUGAAUUCCUACUUCCCAAGUAAAAUAAUUCGGUAAUCAGCUGAAAUAUUUAAUUUUCCAUCAAGCUUGUAACUGGUGAUCUUAAUAGUAGAAAUGUCAGACUUUGUGACCUCCUGGUAGAGAAGGAAUUUAGAGGAAGGGGGGCUUUUUUUCUUUUGAAAGCACACAAUGUAUUAAUUCAACUAAUCAACCAACCAAUCAACAACCCAACAUCUAUUGAGUGUCUACUAUGCGUACAGAAAUCUGCAAGGCACUGCUGAAAAUCACAUCUCUUCCAGUGAGACCACAGAAUGGGACUGGAUUAGAAGUCAGAGCUAUUGUUCAGGUAGGAAAUUCAAAGGAAAGGGGAAAAUCAGUACUCAAGCACAGUUUAAAAGCUGGUUUGGAUUGGCUGAGAUCUCUCUUUGAAGGUUCCAUUUUAAGUCACUUAUGGAUUGAAUUGUGUCCCCCCAAAAUAUGUAAUGGAAUCCUAACCCCUAUAGCUGUGAAUGUAAUAAAAUGAAAUGUAACAUAAUCACUUGCCAUAAUACAAUCUAAUGUAGUAUAAUCAAUUAGUCAGUUGAGGUCAUACCAGUGUAGGGUGGAUCCUAAACCUAAUCAUCUCUGAGUUGUUAAAAGGGCAGGUUAGACACAGAGAUGUACACACUCACUGGGGAGGACAGAUGCCAUGUGAGAAUCACCAAGGAACCAAGGAAUGCCUGGGGCUACUGACAAGGAAGGAUUCCGCACAGGCUAAGUGCCUGAUUUGGACUUUUAGCCUCCAGAACGGCACGAACAUAAAUUUCUGUUCUUUAAAGCUACCCACUUAUGGUAUUUGUGUUACAGGAGCACUCAGUAACCAAGAUCAAAACCAAAAACCAAACCUACUGCUGUUGAAUUGAUUCCAACUCAUAGCGACCCUGUAGAACAGUAGAACUGCACCAUAGGGUUUCCAAGGCUGUAAAUCUUUACAGAAGCAGACUGCCACAUCUGUCUCCCGUGGAGCAGCUGGUGGGUUUAAACUGCUGUCCUUUUGGUUAGCAACUGAUCGCUUUAACCACUGUGCCAAUUGGUUUGUAACUAAGACAAUCACCUUAAAUAGGCCUAUUUUAAAAAGGAGCAACCAAUAACGUAAUUGUUGUAGCUUCUGGAGUCAUAUUGCUACAUUUGAAUCCAAGGUCCACUUUUGCACAGAAAGUUAUUAGCAUUUUGUGUCUCAGUUUCCUUAUUUCUAAAUAGGAUUGUUAUAUGGAAUAAACAAGAUAAUAAGUAUAACAUGCUUAGGUAAGACCUACUACAUAAUAAAGAAUCAAUAAAAGCUGUUAUUAUUGGUGCCCUGGUGUUGAAGUGGUUAAGAGCUUAGCUGCUAACCAAAAAAUCAGCAGUUUGAAUCCGCCUGCUGCUCCCUGGAAACUCUAUGGGGCAGCUCUAACCUGUCUUAUAGGGUUGCUAUGAAUCGGAAUCAACUGGACGGUAACGGGUUUUUUGGUUUUAUUCUUAGUUUGUUGCCAAAUCAGUGUCAAAUUUAUGAGGAUUUGGGCUCAUUCCUGCUGGUGGUCAGGCUGCAAACACACACCCAGAUGACAGGACUCUGUGAAGAAAAGCACAAUGUUUCUUGGAGUCACAAACCGUGGGUUUGAGGCCAAGCUCUGCUAUUUCCUCGAUGUGUGGCCUUGAAUGAAUCACUUAGCCUCUCAGGGCUUCCGGUUCCUGUCUAUAGAACAAAGAUUAAAAGGCGUAUCUUGUUUGCUUCACACUUGGUUGCAAGAGUAAAGUGAAGUAACUUAGGUGAAAGCCUCCUGAACCCUGAAUCACUAUACAACUAUAAAUUAUUAUUUUUAUCCUGCUCUUUUUUUUUUUCUUCAGGAGGAAAACCUAAGGAGCCUGAAGUAGGGCUUGGAACCAGUUCAUUCUGGUUCAAACCCCUGCUGAGAAUUUGCAUUUCUAACAAGUUCUCAGGCGAUGCUAAUGCUGCUGGUUAGACAUCAAUUCUGAGAACCACUAGUAGAGCAGUGGUUCUCAACAUUUAUUAUACCUAAGAAUCACCUGGGAAUCUUGUUAAAAUAUAGAUUCCGAUUCAGUAUAUCUGGGGUGGAAAUGCAAACUUUCAGCAGGGAUUCGAACAGGAAUGAACUUGUUCAAAGCCCUGGCAUGGAGUGACUUGCCCAGGAACAGAAAGUGAGUCAGCAUGGGUGGGUGGUGAGGCAGGGAGGCUGAGGGACAUGUACUCACUCCCCUGCUUUGCAGUACUAGCUCUAAGCUUCCAGCUGUCAGGUGUUGCUGUUGAUUCAACUGAAGAAAUAACAAGAAAGGUUAGGAGGGAGAUGCAGCAAUAGUGAAGACUGCUUUUCUCUUGGUUCCUCUUUCCCUUUCUCUCUUCCUCCCUCUUUUUUUUUUUAAAUAAAAAUUGUGGUAAAAGAUACAUAACAAAACAUUUUCCAAUUCAAUGAUUUUUACACGUACAAGUGAGUGGCAUUGGUUACGCUCAUCAUGUUUUGCCAUCAUUGCCACUAUCUGUUUGGAAGUUAUUCCAUUACCAUUAACAGAAACUCAGUGCCCUCUAAGUAAUGACACCCCCUUCCUCCCUCCCUUCCACCCCUGGUGACCACUAAUAAGCUUUGGUCUCUAUGUUGUUGUUAUUGUUGUUAGGUGUCGUGGAGUCAGCUCUGACUCAUAGCAACUUUAUGCGUAACAGAACGAAAUGUUGCCUGGUCCUGCACCAUCCUCAUAAUAGUAGGUAUGUUUGAGCCCAUCGUUGCAGCCACUGUGUCAAUCCAUCUCCUUAAGGGUCUACCUCUUUUUUUGCUGAUCCUCUACUUUACCAAGCAUGAUAUCCUUCUCCAGGAAUUGGUCCCUCCUGAUAACAUGUCCAAAGUAAGCGAGACAAAGUCUCGCCGUCGUCGCUUCUAGGGAGCAUUCUGGCUGUACUUCCUCCAAAACAGAUUUGUUUGUUCUUCUGACAGUCCGUGAUAUAUUCAGUAUUUUUCACCAACACCACAGUUCAAACGUCUCAAUUCUUCUUUGGUCUUUGUACAAUGAAAAAGGGAAACCGAAGAAGAAUUUGUCUCUAUACAUUUGCCUAUUUUAAAUAAGUGGGAUCAUACAAUAGUUGUCCUUUUGUGACUGACUUAUUUCAUUCAGCAUAAUGUUUUCAAGGUUCGUCUGUGUCAUAGCAUGUAUUAGGAUUUUAUUUCUCUUUAUGGCUGAAUAGUGCUUCACUGUAUGUAUUAUACUGCGUUUUGUUUAUCCAUUCAUCUGUUGAUGGACAUUUCAAUUGUUUCCACUUUUGGCCACUGUGAAUAGUGCUGCAAUGAACAUUGGUGUACAGGCCUCCCUUCCUUUCUUUCUCAUUCUUUCUCUUUCCCUUCCUCCCUCUCUCUCUUUUUUCAGUAAUUUUUUCCCUUGACUAUAAAGGUAAAUUAUUUCAGCUACCUGGGCUACAUUUCUCCUCCUGUGUCCUGCCCCAGCCACUUCUGCUACACCUUGUAGUUCUUGAUUUCUCUCCCAGGGCUCCUCUGGUUUUACUGCGGUAGGGUAUGAGGGGCAGGGGACCUGCAGAAACCGCUUGAGCACACUCCAAUGGACAACCUGGGAUGGGGGAGUUCACACCCUGUAGGCAACUUGUUAUCAAGGACUUGGGGGUUGAUGAAUAAACACUCUCCCCUUGUAAACCUUGAGGGGACAAUUCUGAAGAGCACUGCUUGUGGCUCCUCAGAAGGUUCCAGAGGGCUUGAGACCUUGUUGCUCACAGCGGUGACCAACUUGCUAACUCAUCAUUGUAUUGUCUUCCCUUCCUGUUCCAUCUCCUCAGCCGCCCACUCUGACCCUAGAAUCACUUAUCAAAAUGAACUACCUGCUCUUAUGUGUUAGGCUGUCCUUUCUGGAGUGAAUCCUGACGAGGAAGGCAAUAUAUACUCAUUGUGGAAAAUUUCGAAAAUAAGAAAAGCAUGACAGAGGAAAUAGACAUCACCAAUCAUUUCAGCAUCCAGGAAUAUGUUGAAAUAUUUCUACUAUACAUAUGUACACAUGAUAACAUAAUUACAGAUACAUGGUUUGGCAUCUUACUUUUUAAAAAGAAGCAUUUAGUUGUAAGCAUUUGCCCAUUUCAUUAAAAAUUGCUUCUGGCUCUGUUUUUUAUUGGCUUUAUCUCCUACAAUUUAUCUAACCAUUAUCCCAUUGUUGAAAAUUUAGGUUAUUUCAAAAUUUGAUGAAUAUAAAUAUCACUGAGAUGAAUAUCAUUAUAGAUAACUUUAUCCCUAUUUCUGAUAAUUUCCUAAGGGUAGUCUCUUAGAAGUGUUAUUACUAGAUCAAAGGUAAUGAACAUUUUUAAGUCUCAUGUUGUUGUGUGCCAUCAAGUCAAUUUUUGACACAUAGCGACCCUAUGUGACUGAGUAGAACUCCCCCAUAGGGUUUUCUAGGGUAUAAUCUUUAUGGGAGCAGAUUGCCAGGUCUUUCUCCCACAGAGCUGUUGGGUAGGUUCAAACUGCUAACCUUUCUGUUAGCAGCUGAGCACUUAACAAUUGAGCUACAAGUGCUCCUUAAAGGCUCAUGGUACAUACUGGCAGUUUGCUUUCAAGAAAAGCUGUGCCAAUUUACACUCCUGCCCAGGUGAGGGUAGGGUGAGACAGACAUCUUCAUGUACUGCUUGCAAGAGUGUAUACACAUGCACGCACAUACAUGUGUGUCAUGGAGCCCUGCUGACCUAAUGGUUAAAGAGCUCGGCUGCUAACCAAAAGGUUGGCAGUUGGAAUCCACUAGCCACUCCUUGGAAACCUUAUGGGGCAGUUCUACUCUGACCUAUAGGGUCGCUAUGAGUCAGAAUCGAUUCAAAGGCAAGGGGUUAUUAAAAAAGAGAGAUUUUACAUACAGCCCUGCUUCCCAAAGCACAAGGUGUCUUUCACCUUGUUUGGAUUCUUUCUUUUGUCCUACAGAGGCACAACUGAUUUGUUUCCACCUAGGUGGACCCACAGGCAGCAUCUUUUGCUUGGGUUGAGGCAUAUGACAGGAUUGAGAAGUGGGGGAUUGCCGUUUCCUAAAUAUGAAGCCAGCAGAUUGCUGCUGUGGAAUUUUGAUCACGUCCAUAAACAUCACUUAGGUUAGCAAGCCCACACAUGCACAUUGCUCAAAUGAUAUCCUUGGGUAACUCCCCUCUCCCUGACCUUCCCUUUCAGAUGCAUGGUUGGAAUUCAGUAAUCACAGUGCAACUAUAGCAAUUAUACUGCCUUAUAGGCUGUGCUCUGUGAUGGCUUGUCUCCUAGUGCUGGUAGUCACCAGCCCAGGAUAUUAUUUAGGACAAUACUUGUUGAAAUACUCCUUGAAUCUUUGAAAUAGUUGCCCUGGUUUGAGACAUGCACAGUGCUGUUUUGAGAAUUCUCUUCUGUGGGGACUCUUUUGACAAGAACCAUGUGGAGUGAGUUCUUUGAGUUUAAUUAUAGCCUUACUUUCUCCGGGAUGUCAUUUUAUGGCCAUUGCAGCCCAAGGGUUUAUUUCCCAGGAGUGGGAGUCAGCAACAGGGAAAGUCUGAACUAGCUGUGAGUUUGGUGACCACGUUUCACUUUCUGUGUUGGCUGUGGGGCUGAGCAUAGACAGAAUGGGCUAAAAGAAGGACUCUGGACUGUGUUGGAUAGGGGGCCUGAGUCAUUGAACCCCUGCCUCCUUACAACUCUCAUUUUGCAACUGUGAGCAAGUCACUGCCUCUUUCCUCUCUGGUUGCUUUUGUCUUCUAGAAAGAAAAUCCACAUUUCUCCCCGUGACAGCAAGACUGAAACUUUAGUGGUGAGGUGAGGGAGAAGAUUUUUGACCUGUGGCUCAGUCCAGAUACUUUGGAUUUUGUGACAGGAGGCCUGGUCCUACCACUGUCCCCGUGUCUUAGAACCUUCUCCUGGGCCUGGUUCCCCCACUGUCCCAUUGUCUUAAAACCUUCUCCUGGGCCUGGUUCCCCUACUGUCCUGUGUCUUAGAACAUUCCUCUGGGCCUGUUUCCCCCACUGUCCCAGUGUCUUAGAACCUUCCUCUGGGCCUGAUUCCCCCACUGUCCCUGUGUCUUAGAACCAUCUCCUAGACCAUGGAUUUUGGAGAAAAUCCAUGCAAAGAAACCUGUUUUUUCUUUGAUAUGGAGGCAAGAAAAUUCUUUCCUCACUCUUUCUUUAAUUACUCCAGAUUUCUAACCAUUCCCAGAUCCCUAUGCCAUUUUCUUGGGGUGGGAGGGGGUUGAGGAGUGGAGAUGAACAUGUCCACUAAUAACACCCUCUUUUUAGUUGAAUCUUUGCUGAGAUCCAGGCACAUCUGGGCAUCACAGGUGAACUGGAACUGUGGGUGCUGUAGACAUUUAUUUGCAUAAGGGACCGAGGAGCCUCUGAACGGGAGAAGAAACUGAUCAUAAAAAAUUAUAACAAAUCCUUGGUGUGAUGGUUAAGACUGUGUGUCAACUUGGCUGGGCCAUGAUUCUUAGUGUUUAUAUGUGAUCACUCCCAUGAUGGGAUCUGCUGUGAGUAGCCAACCAGUUGAAAGGGAGUUUCUUUGGGCAUGUGGCCUGUAUCCAAAUAUAAGUGGACAUUCUGGUUUUUGCCCGUUCUGGAUCCUGCAGCUGCCUCCUGUUUAUCUGACUUCCAGUUCUUAGGACUUGAGCUAGCAGCUUAUCUGCCGAUCUUGGGAUUCACUGAUCUUCACAGUCUGUGAGCAAGAGCCCUAUUGUUCAACCUGCUGAUCUUGGGUUCACCAGCCCCUGCAGCUGCAUGAAUCAGGAGAAGCCUUGCAGUCUUGCCUGCCAAUCUUGAGAUUCGUCCACCUUCACAGCCUGUGAACAAGAGCCCUGCUUUCUGACCCACUGAUCUUGGGUCCAUCAGCCCCUGUGGCUACACGAAUUGGGAGAAGCCGCUAUCCUGAUCCACGGACUUGGAAUGUUCCAGCCUCUACGAUCGCGGCAUGGCCCUGGUGGUGUGCCAGCAACUUGAGGCCAACGGCAACAGCAGAAACCGAGACAGCUCUGGAAAAAUAUUUGUUUAAUUAGCAGAAAUGAUCUGUGUGAGCCUCCAAGUGAUCAGAUCCGUUUUUAACUGGCUGGCCUGGAGCUACGCCUGAUGAAUUUUCCUUCAGGACCGUUUUUGGUUUUGAACCGAGUAACUGAUGUUCAGCUCCGACCUGAUUCCUAGCCCAGAAAAUGCGGAUACACGGCUCUGUGUUUUUUCUGGAAAGGCAGUGCCAAGCACACUGGAAGGAGUCUUGAGGAAAAUAUGAGGUGCUCUGGUGAAUGUCAACCCUGAUGAAAUGCCAUGAGGACUCGACUGUGCCACAAGGGUUUCCUUCUUCGCUGCUCUCGGUUCAGUUCUGCAAACUGGAGGCAUUCGAGGGAGCUUGCAAGGAAGCUUGAAGAAGAAGAAGGGACCUGUUCUCUCCUGUUUGUUUACCAGAAGCUUUCUAUUCCUAUGGCUCCAACCCAGCCACACUUCUUCACCCUGGCAGCAGUGGUUUCCUCCUGUAGGGAUACUUUAGAGCUCCCUUUUUACCUUUUCGGUUACUGAGUCAACAACUUUGUACUUACACAAUCAUUUGUAUUAAAUCCUCUCUACUCAAACAAUUUUACCACGUGUCUGUCAGUUUCUCCUACUGUGGUGGCUUGCGUGUUGCCGUGAUGCUGGAAGCUACGCCACCGGUAUUCCAAAUAUCAGAGGAGUUUCCAGGCUUAGACAGACUAGGCAGAAAGGCCUGGUGUUCUACUUCUGAAAAUUAACCAAUGAAAACCCUAUGGAUCAUAACAGAACAUUGUCUGACUUGCUUGCUUUGGACAACGUCAUCAGAAGGGAUCACUUGAAGAGGUCAUCAAGCUUGGUGAAGCAGUGGGCCAGCAAGGGCGUGGGAGACUCUUUGAGGUGGAUUGGCACAGUAGUCAAAACAAAAGACUCGAACAUGCUAGUGAUCAUGAGGAUGACACAGGACCAGGUGACAUUUUGUUCUGUUGUAUGUAAGGUUGUCAUGAGUAGGAGUUGUCUCAAUGGCAGUAACAACCGCAAUCACAUAAUUGGUGUGGUCUCUAUCUUCUCACUGGACCCUGAUCCCUGCAUUUACAGUGUUUCUGGAAUAAGUUUAUCCUGUCUCAUCCUCAGAAGAGGUUUUCAUGGAGGGGAGAAAAGAGGUAUCAUGGGGGUAUAGUGUACCUGCCAUUCUGUGGGAACUUCGAUCAGUGUGGUGGAGGCAUAUAUGCAUGCGAGGUGGCAGAGAAGGGCCAGGGAACUCUAGAGGCAGCUCGGAGUCACUUCCUCACCUUUAGAAUUUUGUCUGGGUCCAAGUGCAUACCAGGCAGCCCCCAGGUGGCGUUGGGAGAAGGAGGAAUAAGGAGCUUGGCUGCUAAUCAAAAUGUUUGCAGUUCAAAUCCACCAGCUGCUCCUUGCAAACCCUAUGGGGCAGUUCUACUGUGCCCUAUAAGCCUCUUGCUAGAGCCAUGAGGACAUUUUGGAGCACUGGGUGGCACAGUGGUUAAGAACUUGGCUGCUAACCAAAAGGUCAGCAGUUCAAAUUCACCAGCCGCACUUGGGAAACCCUAUGGGGCAG